AAUUACCCACUCCCGGCACGGGGAGGUAGUGACGAAAAAUAACAAUACGGGACUCUUUUGAGACCCCGUAAUUGGAAUGAGUACACUCUAAAUCCUUUAACGAGGAUCUAUUGGAGGGCAAGUCUGGUGCCAGCAGCCGCGGUAAUUCCAGCUCCAAUAGCGUAUAUUAAAGUUGUUGCGGUUAAAAAGCUCGUAGUUGGAUCUCAGUUCCAGACGGGCGGUCCGCCUAACGGUGGUUACUGCCUGGCCUGAACAGCCAGCCGGUUUCCCUAGAUGAUCUUCACCGGUUGUCUUGGGUGACCGGCACGUUUACUUUGAAAAAAUUAGAGUGCUCAAAGCAGGCGUGUAGCCUGAAUAAUGGUGCAUGGAAUAAUGGAAUAGGACUUCGUUUCUAUUUUGUUGGUUUUCGGAACACGAGGUAAUGAUUAAGAGGGACAGACGGGGGCAUUCGUAUUGCGACGCUAGAGGUGAAAUUCUUGGACCGU
rnacentral:rRNA from 1 species